CGGGAUUAGUACGUCGGUCGUGCCUUAGGUACGUACUGGUGUUACUGGUUCCUACCUUCUGACGAACCAUCAUGUCAUUAAUUUGGUGUGGUGGGGAAUCAGGACUGUUACUUUGAAAAAAUUAGAGUGUUUAAAGCAGGCUCGCGCUUGAAUACAUUAGCAUGGAAUAAUGAAAUAGGACGUUGAUCCUAUUUUGUUGGUUUCUAGGAUUGACGUAAUGAUUAAUAGGGAUAGUUGGGGGCAUUAGUAUUCAAUUGUCAGAGGUGAAAUUCUUGGAUUUAUUGAAGACUAACUACUGCGAAAGCAUUUGCCAAGGAUGUUUUCAUUAAUCAAGAACGAAAGUUAGGGGAUCGAAGACGAUCAGAUACCGUCGUAGUCUUAACCAUAAACUAUGCCGACUAGGGAUCGGAUGAUGUUAUUUUUAAUGAC
rnacentral:rRNA from 1 species